AUUCAGAAAAUAACGGGAGAGGUGAAAAUCCAUGAUCGCUAUAAGAUGCACGAGAGCGAAAGCAUUUCACUCAAUUGCGUUCGUUAAUCAAGAACGAAAGUUAGGGGAUCGAAGACGAUCAGAUACCGUCGUAGUCCUAACUAUAAACGAUGUCAACCAAGGAUUGGAUAAAUUUUCAAGGAUCGAGACGUAUCAGUCACAGACUCGAUACGAAUCGAUUCUUCAUUCUACCUUAUUCAGAACUUAAAGAGAAAUCUCGAGUUUAUGGACUUCAGGGGGAGUAUGGUCACAAGGCUGAAACUUAAAGGAAUUGACGGAAGGGCACACCAGGAGUGGAGCCUGCGGCUUAAUUUGACUCAACACGGGAAAACUUACCAAGACCGAACAGUAUUAGGAAUGACAGAUUAAGGGUUCUUUCAUGAUUUAUUGGGUAGUGGUGCAUGGCCGUUCUUAGUUGGUGGAGUGAUUUGUCAGGUUAAUUCCGGUAACGAACGAGACUGAAACCUAUUAAUUAGUUGUCGAUCAAUUCGAUCGACAUGUUCGCAAGGACAGUUGCAAUCGUAACACUUCUUAAAGGGACACAUAUCAAUCGUUCAUUUUUAAUCGUUACCGUUUCACGACGGUGCUUUUAAGAAUGAAAAAAGAUAAAGGAAGCAUUCAGCAAUAACAGGUCUGUGAUGCCCUUAGACAUCUUGGGCUGCACGCGCGCUACAAUGGAGUUACUAGAGAGUAUUUUUCAUCGGAACACCUCGAUUGCGUUUCGGCGUGAUCGGAGUGACCUUCGAUGAUUUACCAAGACUGAAAUAGUUUAG
rnacentral:rRNA from 1 species